UAACAAUCACACAUAGGAUAACAUCAAUUCUUGAUAUCAAUAUGGUUCUCCUCCUCGAUAAUGGUCAUAUAUUAGAGUAAGAUUCCCCAGCCAAAUUGCUAGAGAUCAAGUCCUCGUCAUUUGCAAAGCUUGUUAAGGAGUAUACUCGAAGAUGUAGCUCUUAGUUUUUGAAAGAGUAAAUGAGUAAGUUUUGAAUGGUCAUGUGUAAACAUGUUGCAUUAGAUUGAGGUGGAUUGAUUUUUUGAGUAUAACAAAAAUUUGUUGGGAGAA